UUCACUCGCUCAGAUCCCUCCUAUCCAAGAUCCAGAUGCGCUCACCACCGUCCUGCCGUUCCCCACCGUCGUCCGCAUCCAAGCCGCCCCGCCGUGCUCCCUACCGGACUGUCGAGUCCACCGCAGCCCGUCUCCCAACCGCCGCACCGCCUCCCCUCCGUCCCGCCGUGUCCCCUGCAUCACCACCGCACUGUUGUGUGCCCUGCCGCCCGGCCGUGCCCCACGCUGCACUGCCCUAUCGUGCCCCCUCUUCUUCCCCUCGUAUACCUCCAGCAUGGUCGUGAGUCGUGACGGCGAUGCGCGACCCAUGGUGACCUUGCCACGGCUGGAGUUGAACGACCACCGGAUCUACCCGACAUCGUACCCCCUCCUUCUCUCCCAACAGGAACAUGUUCUUACCGGUGUUCAGGUUCUGAUGGUAAUUCAGGCUCUUGCAUGAAUAAGCUUUUUGAGGUGAUGUUAUGUAGUUUAGGCUACUUGCGAGCCUUUGGCAACUAAAAAAGGAGCGUCUACCAACGAAAUUCCCCCAUCUCCAGUUCCACCUGCUUGUUCACCAUCUCUUGCAGAUUUUCGAAACAAGCCAAGAACCACCAGCUUUAUGUGCUCUGCAACAAACAGAUAUGUUGCUUCCAAAGUAGUUUCAAAGACUUCAACAUAUCCAAACAAGCGGAAUGUUGCAUAUGCUACUAUUGGGAGUACUGAUCCAGAAACUAAGGCUGGUGAUAUUGAGUCAGGUAACAAAUUUCAUGUGUGUGCAUAGAUGAAACUAUUCUGGAUAAUGAGUUAGUAAGGUAAGUUGAAGUUUCUCAUUGGUGAUGCUUUUGCUCCAGGAUACUUAAUUGCCUGGUCUUAAGCUUUUGCAAGUUAAAAGUCUUUCUUCCUAUUUCAAAAUUAUAUUUGUAUAUAUUUAAUCACAUAACUGUAAGGUCCAAUUUUCUUCGGAAAAUGUUUUUGGCAGGGGCGCCAGUCGAACUGUUUCGCCGGACACGCUUUGCACAUUGGACCUCUUUAGAUCCAAAGACACAGGUUGUGCCACGUGUGCCUCCCAUCCAAUUAGGUGCUCCCCCAGUUUUGUUGCAACCGCUCACGAAGGGGGUCAUGAGGGGCUCAUUUCGCGUUAGUCAGAGGAGCAGAGGGACGGUGGAUCUAGCGACCGGAGGGGCGACUCAUCAGCGGCGCCUGAGAUCUGGGACAGGAGGGGUGACGGCGUCGAUUGAAUCCAGGACGGAUCUCGCUUCCCCUAGGACUAAUGGAUCCUUUGGCAGAUGUUGCAGGCACCUCUAAUGAGAAUGAGGGGAAUAUGAAGGUUAAGAAGAAGAAAUAAGAAGAGAGGCAAUCUAUGUGGCUUUAAGUCAAGGUUUAACUCAAAAAGGCUUGGUGAAAUUGGGAAGCAAGUAUUACUGGAAACAUAGAAUCAUAAGGAUGGGACUGUUUGAAAACUUGUUGGACAUGUGGCCUUUUAAGGUGCCCCACGAGCUCAUUGAGUUUGUUGUGAUGAACACGAAUCACAUACUCUUUGAGUUCAAACACAAGAACAAAUCCAUCAUCUUCAGCAAACUCAUGAUGAAAAGGAUUUUUAACGUGCCAUUUGGUGAUAGACUCGUGAAGCUUUUUAAGAAGAGUGAUGAACAUGAUCUUCGCACCAUCUACAAGGAAGGGAACAUGGCUCCAAUCGCCCAUGUUGUCAAGUUGCUCAAUAGUUGUAGCGAUGAAGACGUGGUUAUGAUAAAUAGGACUUGGGCGCCCCUUGCUUUGGCAAUAGUUUUGUGCCCAGGCAUUGGCAAUAUUACGUGAAUCUCGAGUAUGUAGGCAUGUCUUUGGUCCAUGAAUUCGUUUGGGAUGUGCAUUUGUUGGCAUGAGCGAUGAAGGAGGUUGCAAUCUUUCAAGAGAAGAAGAUGAUGCAAGCAAAUACAGAAAAAGCAGUAAAGUUUCAGAUCGCUUCAUGCCUUCCCAUGUUAGCGAUCAUAUACAUGGAUCAUAUUCAUAUCCCGGUCGGCCUCCCAAAUGAGCAUGUAAUUGAUUAUUUCAUGUCGAGGAUAUGUUUUGUUUGUCAAAAGGAUUUUGAUUGGUUGGAUAAUGUUGACAAGAACAAUCUCACUCUUGUCCAACCUUUUUAUGGGAAACACACCCAAGUAAUUUUGCUACAUCUCGUCUAUAUAUUUCUUUUGCCAAUGGAGUAUUAACACUCCUUGUUUUUUUGCUUAAUUUGCAUGUAGCAAUCUUUGCUUUUCCAUUUAGGUUAUGUUAAGCUUUUUAUUUUCGCCACUCAUGUUUUGUUUUUCAAGAUCCGGAGUUUGUGCAACACCCCUAUGCAACACAACUCAUUUGACAGGAAAUUGGUGCUAAAGCAGCCAGUGGGCAGGGAGUUGGCGCUGAAGCACCUAGUGGCCAAGGAAGCCAAAUUUAAGGUGCUGAUGUUCAAGCAAACGAAUCUCAAUCAAGCGAGGCUCAACCAAAUGUUGAUGUUGAACCACAUCUAUCAUCAUCGCUCAACGAUUGGCUGUAGCAAUCAUUCCCUAGCUUGCAAGAUCUAAGGUUACUGCAACUGCCACCGCCCCUCAGGCUCGCCGGCCACGGGCACAGGCAGGCAGAAAGACGCGGGGUGCGUCAACGGCGCGGAGGCCGUGGUAUGGCCGGGCGGCUGGGCAGAGCGCAGCCACAGGCAUGGCCGGCGCGGCCAUGCGGCGGCGGCGGGCGGGCGCGGCGCGAAGGCCGGGCAGCCAGGCGUGGGGUGCGGCGCGCGGCCACGAGUGCGGCUGGCGCGAGGCCUGCCGGGGCAGCCGGACGGCGCGAAGGCCGGGCGCAGCGCGGAGGGUGCGUAGGGCGGAGCGUUGCCGCCGAACGAAGCGCAGAGCAAAGGCUCCGUCAACACGCACACGCAUGGUGUGUUGUGUGCGGGAUCCCGCUGUCAAGCAAGGGCUUGGAUCAUGGUCUAUCCAUGUUGAUGGAUUUCCUUUGUACAGGAGUAUGCAUUGCAUGCAACACAUGCACGACCAGCAUGCUCACUGCGUUCAGCGCCGAUGACGAUGGUACCACGCGCAGGCCGUGGGAGAGGCGUCUCCGCGCGAGCCACCGCUGUCUGGGGAGACAAGCGUGAAUUGGGGAGGCCGGGCGGCCACUUGCGCGGCGCUGCAGGGCACAGGGCGGCCACGGAGCGCGGGCGGGCACGGCCAGAGGCUGCACGGCGCGGAGGCCGGUACAAAUUCAGUUCCAAAUGUUGUACGACAAGCACAUGGGUAUUUUUGCAGCGAAGGUGGAUGACGUAGUAGGCAAGUUUAUACAGUGUUUAAAAGGGAUUGCAGUGCAACCGGAUGGUCGCUCUCCUUCGUGAUGUUGGAGACACCAUCACAGCUACCAAUGAGCCCAACUUUUCCUUUGAAGCACCUAUCAUGGAUGAAUGUCACGGAAAAGAGAAUGAUGUUAAAGCUGCAAAUGCUGGCAUUGGUGCUCAAGCUCAAGCUGAAGGUACAACACCUAGCAUGAACAAGGAUGAAGUCACUGGAUUGAACCUACAAGUUGCAACACAGACUGCUGAAACUCGUGAUCAACAAAGAGUGAGUUUUGAGAUGGAAGGCAACGUCUCAUCUCACAGCCCCCACUCUUCUAUGAUGCACAUAGGAGUGCGACAGCCAGCAUUUGGGAGGACUAGCCAUCAUGCGAGUUGUUCUUAAAGGGCUCUGAAGACUAUGAGUUGAUGCAUGGUAUGGAUGAGCCUACAAUCAAGAAGAGCACCGUCAGCUCCAUCUAUGCAAACAUCCUCGUGUUUCGUGUUUCAGACAACGAUGACAGCCCAAAAAAUCAAAUUGUUGAUGCAAGCAGUGGCCCUAGCACACAUGCCAAGAACACUAGGAAGGAAAGGAUGGCUAAAGUUCCGUCCGUAAAAAUACCAAGGCAAAGAAGCAAAAAGUCGAUGAAGCUGCAACUAUGUAUGAGACGUAUCUUAAGCAUGGUAAACCAUUAAGGAGAUCACCACCCAGUGAACAAGUGACACCUUUUGUCAAGAUAGGUGGUUUUUACAUUGGAUACAAGUAAUUCCUUGUAUGCUUCAAGCCUCGCUGGGAUAUGAACGAUGGGGUUAUGUCACUAUGUAUCGAGAUGAACAACCUCACAUCUCAUGCAGGAAGCAAUAGGGUUGUGAAAAAUACAUGUUCUCAGUCCACGCGGGGAUCCUACUAAAAUUAGACCCAUCAACCUUCCAAACACCAGAUCUCAUGCCCGAGCUUGAAAGGGCCAUCACAAAGUUCAAGGUUCAAAAAUUUGACCUCCUUUUUUUUUCACAAAAGUUCAUGAUCGCCAUUGGAUAGUUCUUUGCGCAAACUUGCUUCACAAGCAGUGGAAUGUAUUUGACUCAAUCCAUUCAAAAGGAAAACAAUCUCCUUUCAAGAAGCAUGCCAAUAACCUGAUCACAAACUUUGCAACUCUCACACAAGCGUGUAGCGAAUUUAAUGUCGAUGUUGGAUCCUUUGCCCGGUUGACCUAGAGGAUUACCCAAAGCAAAAAUAACAUAACUAUGAUGGGAAGGCAGUGAGAGAGUUCAAGCAGUUCAGGAAGCUACCCAAAUGGCUCAUCUCAUCAACCACUUCUGUUCCCAAUCAGGAACCGACUGCUUCGGCUAUUAUGGCAACUCCUAUAGUUCUUGAUGAUAGUAGGGAUAUCCUUUGUUGGAAGCCCACUCCUUCUGGUAAGUGCAAUUCUAAGAGUACAUAUAAGUUGUGUUUACAACAAAUUCAUAAUUUGCAGGCAAAUCAACCAAGACAGGUGAACCAAUCAACCAAAGAUAUUUUGCAGCAGGUCUGGAAGCACAAAUUCAUGGCUCCAAGGGUUAAAACUUUUGCGUGGCGCUUACUUAGGCAUGCUCUCCCAACUGGUCUUAGAGCUGGCAGGUUUUCCUCUCAUAUUUCUUCUACAUGCUCUAGAUGUGAUUCAGAUAAAGAUGAAAUGCAUCUUUUCUUUCUUUGCAACUUUGCUAGAGCCUCUUGGUUCGGGCACCCCGGUAUAUUAGAUCUGAUAUUCUUGCUCUCAAUCAUAAUUCCGUUCUUGAUAUUAUUCAGGUUCUAAUUAACAUGAACCAUCCGUAAGCAUCUAUUCCUAAUAUAUUUACCUUGUGGUGUUUGUGGAAAGCAAGAAAUGGUGUUCUUUUUUGUAGGUAAGUAUCACAUUCCCAUCAGGUUCACCAAGCUGCUCUAGCCAUCGCCUCUGUCCAAGAUAUGCAAGAUCCCCAAGAACACCUAAAUAGGGAGCUGCCUUCUUCGAAGGAGAAGCAAUCUACAACCAUACUCUCUCAAGGGCAAGAACAAGUACAUCAAGGCUCCACCCUCAAAUCUGACUUGGCUAUUUCAGGCUUCAACUUCAGCAAGGUUCUUUUCUCACUAACAAUCUUUCAUUAGCAAAGAUGGCUUCUUCAAGAGAUAUCAAUAACACCAACAUCAGCUGGAGGUGCAGACAACCAAUUAGCGAGUUAUUUCAAAUCUCCCAUUCUCUUAAUGUUGUUUAUCACAUCUCUAGGAAUACCAAUGGAAUUGCUCACAAUUGUGCUCAUCAGGUUCUCAACUCGAGAGUAGAACCUGUCUUUAGUUGUUCACGUUCUUCUCAUGGCAAUGUACCUUUCCCUUUUCUGCAAUCCCUCCUCAAUUUUCAAGUUCAGGGCUAUGUAAUUCAUGCUGUACAUUGUCUAUGAGUUGAAUGAAAUUGUGGCGCUUGAUGGA